ensembl:misc_RNA Metazoa_SRP Metazoan signal recognition particle RNA
GCCGGGUGUGGUAGUGUGUACCUGUAGUCCCAGCUACUUGGGAGGCUGAGGUGGGGGGAUGGCUUGAGCCUAGGAGGCAAAGGUUGCAGUGAGCCCAGAUUGGGCCACUGCACUCUAGCCUGGGCAACACAGCUAGACCCUCUCAA